CGUAGGGUGCGAGCGUUAAUCGGAAUUACUGGGCGUAAAGCGUGCGCAGGCGGUUGUGCAAGACAGAUGUGAAAUCCCCGGGCUUAACCUGGGAAUGGCAUUUGUGACUGCACGGCUAGAGUGUGUCAGAGGGGGGUAGAAUUCCACGUGUAGCAGUGAAAUGCGUAGAUAUGUGGAGGAAUACCGAUGGCGAAGGCAGCCCCCUGGGAUAACACUGACGCUCAUGCACGAAAGCGUGGGGAGCAAACAGGAUUAGAUACCCUGGUAGUCCACGCCCUAAACGAUGUCAACUAGUUGUCGGGUCUUAAUUGACUUGGUAACGCAGCUAACGCGUGAAGUUGACCGCCUGGGGAGUACGGUCGCAAGAUUA
rnacentral:rRNA from 1 species